UUAGUCUUCAUAACAACCCUAUGAAAUAGGUACUGUUAUCAUUCCCAUUUCACAAGUAAGGAAACUGAGGCAUAGAGAGGUGAAGUUAUUCACAUAAGGUUACAAGUAGUAAAACUGGAAUUCAAACCUAAGUAGUCUGGCUUCAGAGGCUAUGCUCUCCAGUCACUCUGCAGUCAUUUUUUUUUUUAAAACUGGCAAAAGCCUUAAAAAUAAUUUUUUUUUUUUUUGAGACAGAAUUUUGUUCUUGGCAUCCAGGCUGGAGCGCAAUGAUGUGAUCUCGGCUCACUGCAACCUCUGCGUCCCAGGUUCAAGCUGUUCUCCUGCCUCAGCCUCCUCAAUAGCUGGGAUUACA
rnacentral:lncRNA from 10 species